rnacentral:rRNA from 1 species
UACAGAGGGUGCAAGCGUUGCUCGGAAUCAUUGGGCGUAAAGGGUAGGUAGGUGGUCUCAUUUGUCUGGGGUGAAAGCCCAGGGCUUAACCCUGGAAGUGCCCCGGAAACGGUGAGACUGGAGUAUUGGAGAGGGUCGUGGAAUUCCCGGUGUAGCGGUGAAAUGCGUAGAGAGUCGGGAGGAACACCAGAGGCGAAGGCGGCGACCUGGACAAUUACUGACACUCAACUACGAAAGCGUGGGGAGCAAACAGGG